CUUGAGUGGCCCUUAGCGAUUUGAACAACAGAAUCACAUCCACACAAUUUGAUGACCCAGUCUUCAGCAUUCACAGUAGAACCAAGAAAUUCAAUAAAAUCAAUGAAAAUCUAUACGCAAAGAUUGACAAACAACCAAUAUGCAAAGAAGACAAAUUGUACUAAUUAACCUACACAGUAUGUCUUUGGACUGUGGGAGGAAACCAGAGCACCCGGAAGAAAACCCAUGUGAUCAUAUGGAGAAGAGAAACUUCUGAAAUGCCCGCUUUGCUGCCGCUGCUACUGUGCGAUCGAGAAUCUCCAGAGGGGAAGGCCCCAAAUCCUCGGCUUUGCCUAUUGCCUGUUGCCAGGGCCGGGGUCGAAGCGCUCGGCAGAGAUGGUGCUUGGCGCUCGGUGUCGGAGGGCUGGUCGGAGGCUCGAAGUUUUCUGACAGACUCUGAGUUUGCUGUGGUUGGGCGCUUCCAGGGUGCUGCAUCGGCAAGUUUGCGACGCUGGAAGUUCAUGGCAGGUAGAGUUUUUCUCCCUUCUACCAUCUGCGUGAGAUGAUGGGACUUUCGAGAGACUUUGAGACUUUUUUAUUACCGUGCCCAUGGUCUGUUCUUUAUCAAAUUACGGUAUUGCUUUGCACUGUUGUAACUACAUGUUAUAAUUAUGUGGUUUUUGUCAGUUUUUCAGUCUUGGUCUGUCUUGUGUUUCUGUGAUA